UUAAUGUAGGUUUUUUGAGCAGUGGGGUUAUCCGAGCCUGCUUGAAUGCAGUGGGCAAGGUGCCUGUGAGAAGAGAUGUAUUGAUGAUGUUUACUGGCUGCUUUGCGAAUGCUUUGUC